rnacentral:rRNA from 1 species
GUCGAACGGUAACAGGAAACAGCUUGCUGUUUCGCUGACGAGUGGCGGACGGGUGAGUAAUGUCUGGGAAACUGCCUGAUGGAGGGGGAUAACUACUGGAAACGGUAGCUAAUACCGCAUAACGUCGCAAGACCAAAGAGGGGGACCUUCGGGCCUCUUGCCAUCGGAUGUGCCCAGAUGGGAUUAGCUAGUAGGUGGGGUAACGGCUCACCUAGGCGACGAUCCCUAGCUGGUCUGAGAGGAUGACCAGCCACACUGGAACUGAGACACGGUCCAGACUCCUACGGGAGGCAGCAGUGGGGAAUAUUGCACAAUGGGCGCAAGCCUGAUGCAGCCAUGCCGCGUGUAUGAAGAAGGCCUUCGGGUUGUAAAGUACUUUCAGCGGGGAUGAAGGGAGUAAAGUUAAUACCUUUGCUCAUUGACGUUACCCGCAGAAGAAGCACCGGCUAACUCCGUGCCAGCAGCCGCGGUAAUACAGAGGGUGCAAGCGUUAAUCGGAAUUACUGGGCGUAAAGCGCACGCAGGCGGUUUGUUAAGUCAGAUGUGAAAUCCCCGGGCUCAACCUGGGAACUGCAUCUGAUACUGGCAAGCUUGAGUCUCGUAGAGGGGGGUAGAAUUCCAGGUGUAGCGGUGAAAUGCGUAGAGAUCUGGAGGAAUACCGGUGGCGAAGGCGGCCCCCUGGACGAAGACUGACGCUCAGGUGCGAAAGCGUGGGGAGCAAACAGGAUUAGA